CUUGGUGAUUUAGGCUCAGUUUUGGGGUUCUGUUUUGGGGUUUUAGGGCUCGGUUUUGGGGUUCAGUUUUGGGGUUUCAGAGUUCAGCUUUUGGGGCUCAGUUUUGGGGCUCAGUUUGGGGCUCAGUUUUGGGGUUUUGGGGCUCAAUUUUGGGCUCAAUUUUGGGGUUUGAUUUUGGGGUUUGAUUUUGGGGUUUCAGGGCUCAGCUUUCAGGCCUCAGCUUUGGGGAUUUGCUUUGGGGUUUUGGGGCUCCGUUUUGGGGCUCAGUUUUGGGGUUUUAGGACUCAGUUUUGGGUUCAUUUUGGGGGUUUUGGGUCUCAGCUUUGGGACUCAGGCGCUCAGUUUUGGGGCUCAGUUUUGGGUUUGGGGGCUCAUUUUUGGGGCUCAGUUUUGGGGUUUUAGGGCUCAGUUUUGGGGUUUGGGGGCUCAGUUUUGGGGCUCAGUUUUGGGGUUUUGGGGCUCUGUUUUUUGGUUUUGAGGAUGACUUUUGGGUUCAU
rnacentral:lncRNA from 1 species